GAAUGGACAAAGGCUAUGGAAGCACUUCCAUAAAGAAAAGCAGGCUGAUAUUUGAGUCACAGGCCUACAUGAUAGACACAUCGUGGCCUAACUCAUGAUGAGCAAUUUGAUCUUACUGUUGCUGCUGUUAUGCACAGUUUCUUUCGUGGAAUGUAACUUAACAGAAACCUUUGGCAAAAGAUGGUGCGCCCGAUACUUUAAAAAAUGUUUUCCCACUAAACCAUGCUGUUGGGACAUUUAUGUGUGCAGGACCAAACCAUGUGGAACAACAUUUAGGUGUAUGAGACCAGGGAAUGGCAACGCAUGACGUCAUUUUUGGAUGACCCAGGAGUCCUUGUCAAAAGAAACAACUAAUGGAUAAUUUUGUUAAUUAAUUCAUCUAAUAAAAAUCGAAAAGAAAAUU